rfam:Schistosoma haematobium scaffold425_16, whole genome shotgun sequence.
ACCAGCUGAUGAGUUCCAAAUAGGACGAAACGUGCGUAGUGGAU